UACGUAGGGUGCAAGCGUUAAUCGGAAUUACUGGGCGUAAAGCGUGCGCAGUCGGUUUUGUAAGACAGGCGUGAAAUCCCCGGGCUCAACCUGGGAAUUGCGCUUGUGACUGCAAGGCUGGAGUGCGGCAGAGGGGGAUGGAAUUCCGCGUGUAGCAGUGAAAUGCGUAGAUAUGCGGAGGAACACCGAUGGCGAAGGCAAUCCCCUGGGCCUGCACUGACGCUCAUGCACGAAAGCGUGGGGAGCAAACAGG
rnacentral:rRNA from 1 species